CCGCCUUUGAUGCGCAUUCCUCCUUCCUUCUUGCUUUUCCUAAACAACCCUGCAAUUUGGCACACCAACACUGGCAAUAAUAUUCUAAACGAGCCCCAUAUGUAAACUGGCAAGUGUCCAACUUCUUAAUUACUUUCCUGCCUCUAUCUAAAAAAGAUCUAAGUAGCAAACACCACGCUACUGCAUGUGAAGCAAAGCCUCUGUUUAUAAAUGUUCGAAGCCGCCACCAAAACAAUACAUUGUUCUGCCUUCAGCACAAUGAAAAAGAGGUUUGGUCUGUUUUUUUUUUUUUUUUAAGAUAAAAGCUCUCAAGUGUUUGGAGCUAGAGCUAUGCAGCAGACUUGCAAGAACAUAGUCUGCCUAGAAAACCACAUGACAAAAUGACAUUUUUCUGGAACCUGAGUUGUGUGACACCGCAUCGAUACACCACCACUUAUCUUACCAGCUGCGUCUGCCAGUUGGCUAAAUGAGCUCCCUUCCAAAUGCAUACAUGAAUUAAAAAAUCCAUUUUCCCCUGCAUUUUUUUUUUUUUUUUUUUUUUUUAGGAGGCCAGGGUUUUACUUCAAGACAAAUAAAUACGGAACCUGGACUGGGACUGGGCGGAACCCUGUCCUCUCCGCCUCAUUCUGCAGGAGCCCCCUCCACCCCUGACAACUCGUGCAAAUGUCAUCACUGCCAGUGAGGGAAGACCUGAGACCCAGCACUAGUUCCACCCGCUCCCAACCACAGAUCCUGCUCCAGCUCCGUAUGGCAAAGCACGAUGUCAGUCACGGCGAGCGGCCGGACUGGUUACCUCCCCACCUGCAACAAAUUGGAGCUGCCCCUUCCCAGGCCCUCAGCAGUCUGGCAGAGUGUUCAUUCUGGGGUCUUGCUGUGAAGCACCUGGGCCCAAAACAUGGAAAACACUCAGUCCAAGGUCCCGCUGCUAUUUCAACAGACUGUCAAGCAGGGCCGUCUGGGUCUUCUAGCACAGUGUUGACAGAAGCCACCGCGUGCCCAGCAGUUCGGGAGGCCGGGCCGUGCUAACCUAAGCCUGGGCAGGUGCAUGUGCGUGUGUGCGCGCAUUUUCCCGGGUCCCUCCAGUGCAUCCUAUCUCAUCAAUUUAUCGGUUUACUCUCGCUCCAGUAAGUUUUUGUGCUACUUUAUUGCUUCACUGAGUAAUACAAACAGCGCCCUUCCCAGCCCACCUCCUCCUCCUGUGCCCCCGGCCACACCAAACCACCUUCACCACCCUCGCAGGCUCCUCCAUCACCUGCCUUUCACAGCUAAUCCAAAACUCAGCUCAGGUCGCCUCCACGGGAAAGCCUUCCUGGACCAUCCCCUGUCCUCGGUCUGGGUUAAGGGGCAUGUGGCCCCCCACAGUUAUCUUUUAGUGGCCCCCCAGCCCACUUCGGCAUGACUAUUAUCCUAUUAUCCCUAUACUUGGUAGGCAUUCAAUAAACAUUUUGCCCAGUGACUUAAUGCAGAUAUGCUUGAAGAGACAACACGGGGGUGCCUGGGUGCCUCAAUUGGCUGGGUGACUGCCUUCAGCUCAGGUCAUGAUCCUGGAGGCCCAGGAUCGAGUCCUGCAUCAGGCUCCCUGCUCAGCAGGGAGUCUGCUUCUCCCUCUGAGCCUCCCCACUCUCGUGCUAUCAAAUAAAUAAAUAAGGUCUUUGGGGCACAUGGGUGGCUCAGUGGGUUAAAGCCUCUGCCUUCGGCUCAGGUUAUGAUCCCAGGAUCCUGGCAUUGAGCUCCGCAUUGGGCGCUCUGCUCAGCAGGGAGCCAGCUUCCUCCUCUCUCUCUGUCUGCCUCUCUGCCUACUUGUGAUCUCUGUCUGUCAAAUAAAUAAAAUCUUAAAAAAAAAAAAAAACUUAAAAAAAAAAAAAGAGAGACAACACGGUUCUGGCAGGUUAGCCUCUCCUCCGUCAGAGGUGUGCAGCUGCCGCCUAGGCAUUCUGAUGGAGUCACCAGAGCAAAAACAGUGCGAAAGUAUUAAGCUUGUGUAUCGGCUUAUCAAAAACUGGCAAAAACUGGCACUGUGAUGUUCCCAUAUGAACAAGUUUGACAGAUUACUGUAAAUUACAAGGUGAAUCACAACAAAAUUUAACAAGAGCCAGACUGAUCUACUGACUUCACACCCUUUCCCAGAGCAUGUGGGACCUAAAGGAAAGGAGGAGCACAGGAGUGACAGGCUGGGUCCCUCUCCGCACUCUACCACUACCUUAUGUCACAGGAGAGAAAAUGGAUCUACGCUCGCUGGGCUAAAACGAGUAUGACUUCAGUUUUCAAUUCUUUUACACACAUUCCUGUUUCUACACCUCCACUGUUCCCUGGUGAGUGCUUUCCGUAUACGGGGUGGACCAGAUUGCUUUCCCUUACUCUCGCAAACCCUGUGACAGUCUCCUGCAGAGGGAGGAGGCAGUAAGGCAGCCCAGCCCUCAGAUGAGGGGAACCAGGAUGCUCCUUAAUUUCAGCAGGUUUGUACUACACAACUUCUCAAAGCUAUGACGAAGGUGAUUCAAAGUCCACUGAUUCCUUCCAGGCAUAUUUAACCUUCUUUACUCUUUGCCAAUCAAACUAAACCUUUACGAGGUGUGUGUGUGUGUGUGUGUGUGUGCGCGCGCGCGCGCGCACAUACUGAAACAGGAAGAGCUGUAACAACCCUGCUUUUUCCAGGACUCAUCCCACUGCUACAUGACGAGUCGGCAGGACCACAUCAGGGUUCCCAUCAAAUGCUGUUGGUUGGGGACGUUCAGGUUCUCUUGAAAUCUGUCUUGCCUUCCUAGUUCCUGUGGCGCAAAGUCUCGCUUUCUCUGCCUGGCCGUCAGAACAGCCUUGCCUAGUCAGCAUCUUCCCUUCUGUUCCACUCGGCCUACUUUCCAUUCUACCAGCACCGUUUCCUUGCCACGUCACAAAUACGCUAGGCUCAGUGUCAUCUGUCCCAGGACAUGCACGCCCCUGGUGGGCUCCCCCUUCCACUCUGUCCCAGUCACCGGGCCCCACCCCACGAAGUCCCUUCCGCACUUCCACUCUCUGGUUCUCCUGCAGGAAGAUGCUCGGGCUACAGACCCAUUGUCCCCUUCAGUGCGCACUGUGCAGCCUACGUUGUUUGCUGAUCAACUGUAAGCGUCUCAGCUCUUAAUUACUUUGAAAGUACCCUAUAAAGAAAGUGUCGCACUUUCCUAGGGUAUGAGCAGACCAGUGGGCUGGAAGGAGCUCUGCCCUGGGGGCGAGGGGCGGGGCAGUCCUGGCUGCUACAGCACUGGUCAAACCCCCAGCUAGGACUUCACUCUCAUCCAAAAUCAGAGGUCUGAACCUCUCAGGACCUCUAACCGUUAAGGUCUCUGCCCUUUAAUUUCUGAGUCAAUCACUGAAAAUGAGACUUUGGCAGCAGGAACAGGGAGGCAGGACAGGUUUCAAGAGGACCUGAAUCAGUUAGAAAGGCUCGUCUGGCCAUGAUAUCAGCAACUGCUGGGAAAGAGAUGAACCUGGUAUAAAAUGAAGACUUUUGUUUGGGAGCCAAAAAUCAAUCAUUUAUUUUAUUAAGAUAAUACAGAUUCAUUCCAUUUUCUGAGAUGUUUAUAUAGAAAAUGCUGAUUUAGUCUCCCCCCCCAUAUAUAUUUUAUAUAUAUAUUUUAAACUAUGAUAAACUAGAAAUAGCUUUCCAGAGGAUAUUUACAGAGGCAAAUAUUAUAAUAAAGAAUAUUAUUUUCAAUCCCCAAAUUUGAAGCAAUUCCUUAUUUUCUACUUCUCUAAGAAUGUCCUGAUAAUGUCUUGCACCAACAGCAUUUGAUGGGAACCCUGAUGUGGUCCUGCCAACUCAUCAUGUAACAAUGAGAUAAGGCCUGAAAAAAACGGGGUUGUUAUAGUUCUUUUCCAGUUUUUCAAAAUAAGCAUCUGAAAUUAAAACACCAAGCUAUUUAGGGAUGACUGCAUACUGUUUGUUGUCUGUGUUAAGAUUUUCCUGAGGACCAUGUUUCAGUGUAGAAAGUAACUGUGUUUGAUAUGGUGAAGCAGACAAGACCAUAUUCUUGGUCAAUGAUUAUAUUCGAUAAUUUCUUUUUCUUCCUUGCUUUAUUUAUUUUUUUAAAGAUUUUAUUUAUUUAUUUGACAGACAGAUCACAGGGAGGCAGAGA